rnacentral:lncRNA from 1 species
AUGUUGUUUGUUACUGCUGUGAAACCGCCGCUGUCUGGAGGGGGGCGGGGGUUUUGUACGAACUGCACAGAAGGUGGAGGAGUGAGCGCACGGUGUCCGCUUUUGUAUUUUGCAGGAGCUCCCGGGCCGGCCGGACAGGAGCAAACCCGAACCCGAGGCCAAGGCGCGAGGAUGAACCCCAGGGCGCUCUGCCUGCACGCGCACCUGCUCCUCCUGCUGAGCCCCGUGCUGGGGGGCGCAGAGCGAGGGGGUGCGUUGGCGUGCCUGUCCGGACACGCCACCGAUAUCAGCUGCUCCUUCAACGAGACGAACGUCUGCGAUUCGAUCCGGGACUGCAACGUGACGGCCGGGGCGUGCGGACUCUUCCCCGGCUACACGCGAGUGGAGUGCCGGGUCACCUAUGAUGGUGAAGGACAAGACUGCAUUAAUGUAACCAUGGGGAAGGACUCCAAAUGUUACAACGGUGGGAAGAAAAUCGCCAGUCAAGCUGAAGGCCCCGCCUGCAUUAAAGCUGGCAGCCUGCAGUGCACACAUGUGUUUGUCCAGCAAGAUUUGGGGUGCAACCACGACGGUCAUACUGAUUUCCCAUCCUGCUCUUUUCUCCCUCAUGGGAGUGAGGGGGGAUCUCUAUCAGACUGGAGUCUUUCGGUCGGAGUGAUUGUUGGCGUGUUGGCUGUCACCAUUGUGGCUGGAGUUCUGGUACGUUUCCGAGGUCGAGGGAUCGAAUACAACACUGGGUAGGCAGAGUCUUGACCCCCUUCAUCUGCCUGCUGUUUCCAAUUACAUUUUGUAUCCUCAGUAUGGUGGUCAGUGAGAGUGAGCUGGGCACUGAUGCCCUUAACUCCUCUGUAUCCUCAGUAUGGUGGUCAGUGAGAGUGAGCUGGGCACCGAUGCCCUUAACUCCUCUGUAUCCUCAGUAUGGUGGUCAGUGAGAGUGAGCUGGGCACCGAUGCCCUUAACUCCUCUGUAUCCUCAGUCAUACCUCUUGCAGUAACUGACUGGAAUUCCCUUCUUUCUCUCUCAGGUCUGGAAAUACAGGCGACAGAAAAGGACAAGCAGGUAGUUGUCAUUUCUUAUCCUAAUAAUCCCUUUAUAGCCCUGGGUCUGUGAAGAGAAGACAUUGCUUAAUGCAGUUUCUGUUUUUCCCCAGGGGGGACCUGGAAAGUUCAGUAGGGAGCGAAGAUCCACUGCAAGCUGGUGACAUGUGAAGGUCCGGACUGCCGGAGAGGCUGUUAAACUGAGACUGAGACGCUUGCUGUCCUGCAGAAUUGUUAUUCCCUGUAACUGUUCCUUUUGACAGUGUCCUGCUGUGAGUUUUCUGCUUUGUGACUGUUCCAGCACACUCCUCACAGAUGGAGAAAAUGCUGUUCUGUAUUGCCUUUCAGCCAUGUGUAUAGAAUUGAGAAACCGUCCUGCUGAGCGGGCUGAGAUCUGGGUCCACAUUCACUCCAGUGCUGAAGUGUGAAACCUCAGAGCUGUUUAAUCAAGGAACUCUGGGAAGAGAACGCGCACGGUGCGGUAUAGCCCUCUGGUGUGAGCGAGCUGUCGUGCGUGAAAGCACAGUGCGUUCGUGGGCUGCCCUCUGCUGGUAGACAGCAAGGUGGUGCAGCUGAGUAAACCGCGUAGUGAAUAACUCGGGAGCCCCGAGUCCGAAUCGCUCUUGUCUUCUGGAGCACAACCUUAGAACAGGGAGACAUUCCCCACAUACACGCACAAAGCAUCCCUCAACAGCACUUUUUUUUCUUGCUCCUGUGUUAAUGUGGAUAAUGGAGCUGUAUUUUUUAUUUUGUUUUGAUGGUUGUUGUAUUUAUUGGGUUGAACGCACAGCUUGUUGUUCCUCUCUCUGAGCACUGCGGCUGCCCGCAAUCCUGCGUCGGUUCUUACUGUUUCAGGACCUCCUGCGCCAGCAGGGGGCAGCGCAGCGUGGUGGGCACGUCUCCGGACUCACAGCAGGGGAGAUAGCGGUCCGUUUGUCAGGCUCACAUCGAAAUGCCCACCUGAACUACACCUGGACAGGGACUCUCUUCUUUAACUGGGAGAGUUAACUUAGUCUUCAGUGGGCUUAGCAGCCACCUGGAGCUUGACUGAAGCUGCUAUCUGCCCCUGGACUGAGAGCACAGCCUCAGAGCCCCACACAGCGCUGGGUCUCCUUCCUCAGUCCCUCUCGUCUGCCUUCAAUGAGACACGGGUACUUGACUCGGUCUUCUCUGUUUACUCUUGCACAAUGUCUUUGUUAAUUGAGCCUACUGAUGUUGCAAUAGUUCUUUUAUUUUUUUUGCCGUAACCGUCUGCACUGUCAGCCUCGUGUUUCAGGUGGGGGAUAACGAGGGGGAUGCGGGUGCGUUCUAUUUUACACUCGGUCUAGGGCGAGGCUCUGUGUGUCGGCGCUGGUGAUUGGACUCGCGCCCCCUCCAGGCGAGAGCAGUCACGGCCCGUCAUUCUGCACUGCACCCUGGGAACCCAUACUAGGCUCCGUUCUGCCAUCCUGACUCGGGUGAUCCGAUGGGAAGCAGCAGAGUGACUGAUCAGUGGCUGUUCACAGGACUGACCACGAGGAGCCCGGUGCAGACAGUUAAAAAACAAUGUGAAUAUGGGUCUCUGUCCUGUCAGGGGAUUUGUGAUGGUGCCCAUGCGGCUGUAUCUCAGGGAACGGCUUUGGUUGUUUGAGGCGUAGAGAUAUUCAGGAUGGAAUUAUGCGUGACAAACACGAUUGCGGAACAGGAUGUGUUACCUUUUACUGGGACUAAUUUUGUUUGCAUUCACUUUGAAAUAGGAGUGUUUCUGCUCUUGGUAUCUUCUGCAUUCUGGCUGUGUGAAGCGCCCGGGGAGAGAUCUUACUCGGAAGAAGGUGUUAGAUAUAGUAUAGAAAUAGGUGAACGUAAGGACACAAGAUUGACUCUAAUACAGUGAAAAUCUGUAAAUAAAUGAAGUGUCAAUGAGUACUGUACUCAGGGUAGCACUGUGACUUAAUUACCCUCUUCCUGUAACUGGAUAGUACCUGUUUUUUUAGUUAAUAAAGCACAUAUUACACUAAUACUGUUUACAUUUUACAUUUGUUUUUAGUUGUAUUUGUUCAUCUUCUUUCUGAGUUUUGGAUUCAUUGCAAAUUCUUCCUCUUUGAGGUCUGUCAUAGUUACUGUGAUGUGUUGAGAACUGAUCAACACAACCCUGUGAUUGGUCAGAAUAUCAAGUAUAAUUCAUUUAAAUAGCACCUUUGACCUCAAAGAAUACCCUGCAGAAGUACA